CCCUAUGUCGCUCCGAUUCGUCCCUCCCCCCCACCCCCAACGCACACACUCCCCCCUCUCCCCUUUCCCCGGCCCCGGCCCUGAGGUUUGAAACCACCCCCGCCACCCGCCGGCUAUGUCCCCCCGACCCUUCGAUGCCUCUGCUGGUCGGGAUCCCCCCCACCCCCCUGCCCAUAUCAUUUUUUCCCCUAAAACUUGGCAAAGGCAUGGGAACUUGGAAGCUUGACCAAAGACAUGUGACGCAUGCCACCGCCCAUGCCAUGACGCGUGCCACGGGGCCUUGCAUAGUGCCCGCGAGCCAAGCCAAGGUGCCACGGGGCCUCUCAUGGUGCCCUCCUGCGAGCCGAGCCAAGGUGCCACGGGGCCUUGCUUGGUGCCCGCGAGCCAAGCCAAGGUGGCAGGAGGCCUUGCAUGGUGCCCGCCCGUGAGCCAAGCCAAGGUGGCACGGGGCCUUCCAUGGUGCCCUCCCGCGAGCCAAGCCAAGACACGCGACGCGUUCCACGGGGCCUUGCUUGGUGCCCGCGAGCCAAGCCAAGGUGGCACGGGGCCUUCCAUGGUGCCCUCCCGCGAGCCAAGCCAAGACACGCGACGCGUGCCACGGGGCCUUGCUUGGUGCCCGCGAGCCAAGCCAAGGUGGCACGGGGCCUUGCAUGGUGCCUUCCCGCGAGCCAAGCCAAGGUGCCACGGGGCCUUGCUUGGUGCCCGCGAGCCAAGCCAAGGUGCCACGGGGCCUUGCAUGGUGCCUUCCCGCGAGCCAAGCCAAGGUGCCACGGGGCCUUGCUUGGUGCCCGCGAGCCAAGCCAAGGUGGCACGGGGCCUUGCAUGGUGCCCUCCCGCGAGCCAAGCCAAGACACGCGACGCGUGCCACGGGGCCUUGCUUGGUGCCCGCGAGCCAAGCCAAGGUGGCACGGGGCCUUGCAUGGUGCCCCCCCGCGAGCCAAGCCAAGANCNANCGCGACGCGUGCCACGGGGCCUUGCUUGGUGCCCGCGAGCCAAGCCAAGGUGGCACGGGGCCUUGCAUGGUGCCUUCCCGCGAGCCAAGCCAAGGUGCCACGGGGCCUUGCUUGGUGCCCGCGAGCCAAGCCAAGGUGGCACGGGGCCUUGCAUGGUGCCCUCCCGCGAGCCAAGCCAAGACACGCGACGCGUGCCACGGGGCCUUGCUCGGUGCCCACGAGCCGAGCCAAGACACAUGACGCGUGCCACCUCCCGUGCCACGACAGCUACAAUGACCCUCGAUAUGGUGCUAGAGGCUGUGCUAGGACACGUGACCCAUGCCAUGAUGCGUGCCACGGCCCGAGGCACGACACGUCUCGCGUGCCACGACCCCCAUGCCAUGGUGCCACGACACCUGUAAUGACCCAUUCCAUGGUGGUAGAGGCUGUGCCARGACACAUGGUGCAUGCCCUAUCUGGAUUUCGACCCUGAUGCCUUGACAAGGUUCCGGAUUAUGGUCUAUUGCUAAUCACGGAAUGUUAUUAAUCCAUGGAUUCAUGUUGCAAAGGUUGUUUGCUAUUUUUUUAUAUGGUUUUUUUAAGAAAAAAAUUUUAAAAUAAAUUUUGUUUGGACAAUCCUUGGAUUCUUUUUUAAGAUUUCUUUUUCCCAUAUCAAAUACAAUUUUUAAAAAUAUUUAAAGCAAUUUUUACUUAUUUUUCCCCCAUUUUUCUAAGUAAAAAAGCUAAAAAAAAUAUUUUUUGGCCAAGAGAGCUUCACCAAUCCUUGAAUUCGUCUUCCAUAUAUUUUUCCCAUGUGAAAUACAUUUUUAAAAAAUAUUUACACUAUUUUUUCCUCAUUUUUACUAUUUUUUAAGUAAAAAAUUCGAAAAAAAAAAAUAUUUUUGAGAGAUAAGUUGCAUUAAUUCAUGGAUUCCUAUUCCAGAUAUUUUUCCCAUGUGAAAUACAAUUUUUAAAAAUAUUUUCACUAUUUUUUGGUAUUUUUUACUAUUUUUCCCUAUUUUUCCCUAUUUUUCGGACAAAAAAAUUAAAAUAAAUAUUUUCUGGGCCGAAAUUUUUUUUUUUUUUUUUCCUUGGGUUCAUAUAAUUAUUAUAAAGAGAUUCAGCAAAAAAAACGGAAUUAAAAACUCUUUUUUCAUUAAAAAAUGGCAUUAUGUCUCCUCAAGCAUGGGUGAUGUCUCCUCAAGGCAUUUCCAAAACGGCCCAAAAUGCUCUUUAAGGGGGGGGUGCUGUCCUCAAUGGGCUGGCAGCACCACCCGCCCAGGCACGCUGCAGCGCGUGCCGCCCUUGGCGUGCAGGCCGCCCAUGCCACCCUAGGCAUGGCGCCCCCGCAUAUGCCACCCUCAAGCCCACGACACGCUAAUGCGAAGAGAGCACGCCCGCGACACCGUGGGCAGCCCUCGCACGCAGCAGCAGUCACCCCGUGCCCCGCACACGCUGCACCCCGGACGCGUCCCAUGCCCCCCAUGCGGACACGCCCUCCCCCCCAUGCAACGAGUGCCCUCCCCGCGCACUCGGCCCCGUCCCUCCUCGUCUCGGCUCGACCCCUCGAGCGAGCAUGUUGCCUCGGAAAAACGUGCCAAUGGCCAACGUCGCGGCUCACCCCGGGGGGCUCACCCAUGCCUCCCGCCCGACGUUGCCCAUCAAAAGGCACACGGACGCCCCUCCCCCCAUGCAACGAGUGCCCUCCCCGUGCACUCGGCCCCGUCUCGGCUCGCCGAGGAGCCCUCGAGCCCUCGAGCGAGCAUGUUGCCUCGGAAAAGCCUGCCAAUGGCCAGCGUCGCGGCUCACCCCGGGGGCUCACCCAUGCCUCCCGCCCGACGUUGCCCAUCGAAAGGCACACGGAUGCCCCUCCCCCCAUGCAACGAGAGCCCUCCCCGGGCACUCGGCCCCGUCUCGGCUCGUCGAGGAGCCCUCAAGCCCUCGAGCGAGCAUGUUGCCUCGGAAAGGAGCCAGACGCAUCGUCGCCAUGCCUAUAUCGGUCCUACGAAGGCUUCACUCGUUGCUCCCGUGUGCUGGUCAGGAGUCGCCUCCGGACGAGUCGCGGUUCGACGCGUGAUGCCGUGUCGUAGUGAACCUGAUGGCGUGUGAGUGGUGUUUGGGUCGCGUGGGUCGGCAGGCUCCUUGCUCGUGCAACGAACUGUCGCCGCACCCCCCUCUUCAUUCUAAGCCUCAAGCGCUGCAACAAGCCUUGGGCGUCGCGAUGCCGUGGUUCCUGUGUUGCCUUCCUAACGGAUGGAAUUGUCCCUCGAACGUUGCCUAUCUCCGCCCGGCUCCCGCUCACGCGGUGCGGGCGGACCUCGAAAGCGGUCGCCGUGUCCCAUGGUCGCCCCACGCAUGCGCACGCAUGAGAGGGGUCGAGCAUGGCCCGCGACGGCCGCUCGUGCUCUCGGAUGCGGAACCUUAAAACGAGCGUGGGUCUCUCGGGAUCCCGUACUCGCUCGAGCUAAGCGUUCGUCGCUAGACGCGUACGACGACCGUCCCCGUCUUUGCCCUCCCGUCCCGCUCCCCUCGGGGGGCGUCGGUCAGGCGCAUGCGGUGCCGGCGUCGCACAGGAAUGC
rnacentral:misc_RNA from 1 species